rnacentral:tRNA from 1 species
GAGGGUAUAGUUCAGUGGCAGAGUGUGUGCCUAGCAAGCACAAGGUCAUGGGUUCAAUCCACAGUACCUCCA